rnacentral:rRNA from 1 species
GAGACAGCAGUCGCCACGGUAAUACGUAGGGUGCAAGCGUUAAUCGGAAUUACUGGGCGUAAAGCGUGCGCAGGCGGUUUUGUAAGACAGAGGUGAAAUCCCCGGGCUCAACCUGGGAACUGCCUUUGUGACUGCAAGGCUAGAGUACGGCAGAGGGGGAUGGAAUUCCGCGUGUAGCAGUGAAAUGCGUAGAUAUGCGGAGGAACACCGAUGGCGAAGGCAAUCCCCUGGGCCUGUACUGACGCUCAUGCACGAAAGCGUGGGGAGCAAACAGGAUUAGAGACCCCCGUAGUCCCUGUCUCUUAUAA